AUGCUAAAAAUCCGUGUUAAACAGCCAAGGCAUCAAGGCUAGCGAUUCCUCGAACUCCACUCCGCCGGCCUCCUAAAAAGCUUGGAGAACCUGAAAAUAUAAUUUGCAUAAAAGCAUGAGCCCAAACACUAGCUCAGUAAGGACAUUAGUCUUAGUCUGACGAACUCACGCCUCUAUCAUCGUAUCACUCACGACCUAUGGGAGUCCUAAAGUAUUCGUCUAUGUCCUUUCCAACUAAUUAUGUUAUCUCUACAAACACGUCACACAUAUUCAAGCAUAUAAUUACACAUAUAAGCACAUAACAUAUUUUCCUUGAAGUCGAGAGCAUUAUAACAAAAGUAUGGUUUUGUUUCGAAAACUACUUGAAAAUCAUUCUGGAAAUAAUUCAUGUAAAUUAAUUCAUAAUUUACUUGGGAAUCCAAUUUAGGCAUAAAGUCCCUUUCCUUUAAAAAUUUCUUUUAAAAUCUUUUGAAAAUCAUCUUGCUUCUAAAACCAUUUUUAUGCAUGGAUGCUUAUGACAGGAUCCCUAUCAAAACCCUAACGUAAGCAUCGACAAUAGACGUUUUUAUACUGAGCCCGGUCUUUGGUGAGAGCUACCCACCCUGCAGUCUAUAGUAACUUGUCAUUUUGGGAUACCGGCCCGCCGUAUCCCGUGUCUAUUCAUCGGAGCAACGUUACUGUUUCGACUCUUCUAUACUAGACCAUGAAACCAUUUAAUGACUCGAGGAAUGCACAUAAAUUAAAGAUCUUAAUACACCAUUCAAAUAAACAGUAAUAAUUUCAAGUACGUCAUUCACAUAAUUCGAAGGAGUUAAAUCACAUAACUUGAUAAUCAAAUCAUAAAAUUCGGAAGCAAUUUCCGAAAUAAUAGUAAGAACAUAUAGAUCAAACAUUAGUAAUAAAGACACAUAUACUUUUACACGUAUAUACACAUAGGCACUUAUCCGUAUUUAUAUACUUAUACAUAUACGUAUAUACUCUAAUUUAUAACUAUGGGUUAUAAGUUUCCUCAACCCGAGGGGAGUACGCCUAUAACAUCAUAGGUCUAAACUAUCGAUAUACAUAUAUAUAUACUUAUAUAUAUACAUACUUAUACCUCAUAAGAGUAAAACACAUUUUUCAAAUAAUCAUCAUGAAAUUCAAUAUUUCACAUAAUUGCUAUUCAAAGGACCAUAGAAAAUCGAAUCUAUUAAAAGUACUAGCACAUAGAAAGUUUCAAGAACAACUUAUCGCUCUAAAGAUAUACUAGUCUUUUUAUCUUACAUAUAUCUACUCUAAUAAUGGUUCUUAGAUGGGGACAUAAUAAUCUAAGCAACAUAAUCUAUAUUUAUUACCAUGUUAAGUCAUGCCUCAAGAGUUUAAACCGUGCCCACAAAGGACCCCUUUAAUCCAAAGUAAUUCGUUUUUAGGAAAAUCUGACAGUUUUGACACUUUAACUUUGAAAAUACAUUUCUCUUAAACCGUUACUCCAAAAAUUCUGAAACUUUAACAAAAAUUCUGAAACUUUAAAACAGUUUUCCAAAAUAACCAGUAGCCUAAGAGAAAUAAGUAAAACAGUACAGUAGUAUGGUCACACUUUCAGAAACAGAACCAGCCCACUUUAAAAAUACCCAAUAAAUCACUCUUUUGUUAAAACACUGCACACCUUUGUCGAAAACUGGUUUUAUAAGUUAUAAAUCCAUUCCAAGUAGAAUAAAGGAAAUCAAACUGGGAAAACAUCGAUUUUAAAAGCAAGUCCUCAGCUGACUCAAAAACUGCGCAGGUUUAGUAAAUAAUUCAUAUCUUAAUCAUCUGAAAUCCGAUUGAUGAUUAAAAUAUAUCAAAUUAAAGAGAACAGAAAGAUCUAGUUACCCAUGAAAUUUCGUGAUUUUAAGAAAAGAGGGCAUCUGUGAAACAUGCAGUAAACUCCGAGACUGAAAAUCUGAAAAUUCAUUAGUGAUCUAUAUCUACAUCUUUGAUCAAAACAGAUCUGGCAGUUUAGGCACUAUAACUUCAGAAAUUCAUAUCUCCUAAACCGUAGAUCCAAACCUGAUGAAAUUUGGUACGCAUGUUCAUAUAUAAGUCUAGUUAAUAGGGUUAAAACAGUUUAUGAAGAAACUCGUCUAUGGGAGAGAUAUAAUCAGUUUAGUGCAGUAACAUAAGCAGAAAUUCAGAACAGACCCACUAACUUUUAAAAAUACCAAAUAAUUCAUUACUUAAUCCAAAAAUUACCAAAUUUUGUAGAAUAUUAGUUUCAUAAGUAAAUAAUCAUAUUCAGGUGAAAUCACUUCAAUACGAGUAGUAUAAAAAGCUAUUUAACACAUAAUUCGUAGAUGACUCCGAAACUGUGCAGAUUCAGAAAACGAUUCAUAACUCACUCAAUACAUAUCCGAUUUAUGCAUAAUUUAUAUCCACAUGAAGCUAACCGAAGGAUCUAGACUACCAUCAAAUUUCAUAAUUUUAUCUUAGGGAUUACCCGAUGAGACAUGCAAUACAAUCAGAAGCUACGAAACUGAAAUUCAAGUAGUGUUCGUCAAGAACUUUAUCUUCUAAAGCCCAAAAUUAAGACCACAAACAUAUAGUUCAUUAAAACCCAUAUAAUUUAUAUUAAUUAGGUUAUUAUUUCAGUAAACACAAACGUCCUUACCCAAGAGCAAGAAAUCGAAGAUGAAGGAGCGGGUUUGGCUUGGAUGUUCUUGGAUGGCUUUGGGGCUAAGUUUGAAGGAUGUGAAGGGGCUGUUGCUUGAAGAUUUUUAGCAGAAUUGCAGAAGAGGGAGUUUCUCUUGGAGAGGAAUUGAAGAGAGGAAGGAGAGAGGGGCUUUGAUGGGGUGAUGGAAGAAGAGAAUUCUUCUUUGGGGCUGUUUUUUAUCGAUGGAGAGGGAGAGGAGAGGGGCCUUUUG
rnacentral:lncRNA from 1 species